GACGAACGCUGGCGGCGUGCUUAACACAUGCAAGUCGAACGGAAAGGCCCUGCUUUUGUGGGGUGCUCGAGUGGCGAACGGGUGAGUAACACGUGAGUAACCUGCCCUUGACUUUGGGAUAACUUCAGGAAACUGGGGCUAAUACCGGAUAGGAGCUCCUGCUGCAUGGUGGGGGUUGGAAAGUUUCGGCGGUUGGGGAUGGACUCGCGGCUUAUCAGCUUGUUGGUGGGGUAGUGGUUUACCAAGGCUUUGACGGGUAGCCGGCCUGAGAGGGUGACCGGCCACAUUGGGACUGAGAUACGGCCCAGACUCCUACGGGAGGCAGCAGUGGGGAAUAUUGCACAAUGGGCGGAAGCCUGAGGCAGCAACGCCGCGUGCGGGAUGACGGCCUUCGGGUUGUAAACCGCUUUCGCCUGUGACGAAGCGUGAGUGACGGUAAUGGGUAAAGAAGCACCGGCUAACUACGUG
rnacentral:rRNA from 1 species